rnacentral:rRNA from 1 species
CCUACGGGAGGCAGCAGUCGAGAAUCAUUCACAAUGGGGGAAACCCUGAUGGUGCGACGCCGCGUGGGGGCAUGAAGGUCUUCGGAUUGUAAACCCCUGUCAUGUGGGAGCAAAUUAAAAAGAUAGUACCACAAGAGGAAGAGACGGCUAACUCUGUGCCAGCAGCCGCGGUAAUACAGAGGUCUCAAGCGUUGUUCGGAAUCACUGGGCGUAAAGCGUGCGUAGGCUGUUUCGUAAGUCGUGUGUGAAAGGCGAGGGCUCAACCCGCGGACUGCACAUGAUAAUGCGAGACUAGAGUAAUGGAGGGGGAACCGGAAUUCUCGGUGUAGCAGUGAAAUGCGUAGAUAUCGAGAGGAACACUCGUGGCGAAGGCGGGUUCCUGGACAUUAACUGACGCUGAGGCACGAAGGCCAGGGGAGCGAAAGGGAUUAGAUACCCGAGUAGUC